rnacentral:lncRNA from 1 species
GAUGAGAAUUUUGAGAUAUUGCAUAACCGGCCGUACCUUCUUUCAAUGGCUAACCGUGGUCCAAACACAAAUGGAUCGCAAUUUUUUAUACUUUUGGCUCCUGCACCGCACUUGGACAACUUGCACACUGUUUUUGGGCAUGUGUUAUCUGGCAACGAGUUGAUUCGUGAAAUUGAAAGUCAAAAAACAAACAAUAACCACAAGCCUUACGCCGAUAUAACAAUCUUCCACUGUGGUGAACUAAUUAAAAAAUCAAAAACCAGUUCCAAGUCAGUCAA